CAGUCGCCACGGUAAUACGAAGGGGGCUAGCGUUGUUCGGAAUUACUGGGCGUAAAGCGCACGUAGGCGGAUAUUUAAGUCAGGGGUGAAAUCCCGCAGCUCAACUGCGGAACUGCCUUUGAUACUGGGUAUCUUGAGUAUGGAAGAGGUUAGUGGAAUUGCGAGUGUAGAGGUGAAAUUCGUAGAUAUUCGCAGGAACACCAGUGGCGAAGGCGGCUAACUGGUCCAUAACUGACGCUGAGGUGCGAAAGCGUGGGGAGCAAACAGGAUUAGAUACCCGUGUAGUCCCUGUCUCUUAUAC
rnacentral:rRNA from 1 species